rnacentral:ncRNA from 1 species
AGGAGCCGUGUGAUGGGAAACUAUCAAGCACGGUUUUGAAGGGCGCGACCUGAAA